rnacentral:rRNA from 1 species
UACGUAGGGUGCGAGCGUUAUUCGGAAUUACUGGGCGUAAAGCGUGCGCAGGCGGUUCGCCGGGUCCGAUGUGAAAGCCCCGGGCUUAACCUGGGAAUGGCAUUGGAAACUGGCGGGCUUGAGUGUGGCAGAGGGGGGUGGAAUUCCACGUGUAGCAGUGAAAUGCGUAGAGAUGUGGAGGAACACCGAUGGCGAAGGCAGCCCCCUGGGCCAACACUGACGCUCAGGCACGAAAGCGUGGGGAGCAAACAGG